GUUCUGGGGUUUUUGGUCGGUUUUUUGUGGGUUCUUUUUUCGCCUGCUGCUUCACUGUUCUACCCAGUAGAGGGCGCCAGUGGCCAUCGCCAUGGUGAGGCGUGUCCCACGCUGCAGCGCACCUGUGUUGUAUCAGCUCAUCAUCUCCGGGAUUCUUAAGGAGCAGACUGCCAGCACUUCAUCGCCUGAGUGUUAUGCCAGUAAUGGUGUUUCCUCGUGAGUUCCCGAGAAGAUUCCAUUUUGGUUUCUUGGAUUCCCUUUUUCGUGACGCCGUGGAUUAUACCCACUGGUCGCCCGAGCCCCACCGUCAUCUCCUCCGUCUGAUCCCUAGCAGACUCCACAUAUCUUCAGCUGGCUGUCGGACCGCUCCUCCGUUUGUCCCACCGCACUCGAACUUACCUGUCCGCCUUCCACCGCAGAACCCUCGACUGGAUUUUGAGCCGCUCCUCCACCAUCUCUCGUGGAACCAGGAUCUCUGUAAGGACCCACACUAGGAGACCAAAGCCUCGAACCUACAGUAUCAACCCCCCCGGACGAGCAAGUCCUCCACAACAAGUAAGAUCAUUCCUAUUUAUCCUCACAAUCCCGCCUUCCGACUCCCCUCAAACUCAUCAUUUCCUCUGUCGUUCCGCAGUGAACAGACGUCGCAGUGAGCCCGUUCCUGAACCCAUUUGUUUGCAAUAAAUAUAAUUUUACUGA